AAGUCGUAACAAGGUUUCCGUAGGUGAACCUGCGGAAGGAUCAUUAUCAAUGAAUUAGCAUGAGCGCUUCUUAUUUUUUUAUAAGGGGUGUUUUUGUAUUUUUUUGUGCACUGUUUUCUUUUCUUUUUUAUUUUAUUUUAUUUUAGCGGCUUUUGCGAUUAUUUAUUUAGUUGCUUGUAGGCGUUAAGAUGAAUUAAAAAAAAAAGAGAGAAAUUGAUUUUCUUAUUAUUAUUAUUAUUUUUUGUUAACGUUAUUUGCCUAGCGCAAGUAGCGAUUUAAUUAAAAAGAAGACAACUUUCAGCAAUGGAUCUCUUGGCUCUU
rnacentral:misc_RNA from 1 species